UUCUGAAUAACCCUUUUAUGAUCUAAAGUUGGCGAUGGGGCUUUUCUUAAUGGCAGGAUUUAUUUGCAAUAGCACAAGAUCAACCAUUUCGGUUUCCAUCCGCAUUUACUUUUGUCCUAAGGGCAUUCUCAACCCUGGAAGGUAUAGGCUAUGCUCUUGAUCCAGAUUUCUCGUUUGUGAAGAUUGCUGCACCUUAUGCCCAGGAACUUUUAGAUUUAAGACAGACGCAGCGUACUGGGACACAGCUUGUGAACGAAAUAAGGAAACAAGCCGAUGAUGCCAGAAGCUACACCAUGUCCAUGCCAUACAGAGUUCAGCGAAUAGAGGAGUUUGUGAAAGAACUUGAGUCAGGGGAUCUGAAACUCCGAGUCCGGGUGCUUGAGUCAGAAAGAGCUGCUCGAAAAGCGACAAUACUACAAAUGGCGACGAUGUAUACAGUCUUAGGAGGUACCCUGCUUAACCUUGGGGUCACUUUGAGCAGUCAAGGGAGUCAAGCUAUCGCAAAUGGAUCGUUCAUCGGUGCAGGAGUCUUUUUCACACUGCUGGCUAGAUCUAUGCAAAGGGUGAAGACACUUGAGAAAUUUGAGAAGAUGAUCUAAUUUCUAAACCCAAAGCCAGCCCAGAACCCAUCUAGCCUUCGCAGUAUAGCUUAUACCCAAUUUCCACAUUCAGUCGCAUAAUUCUUC